CCUACGGGUGGCUGCAGUGGGGAAUAUUGCACAAUGGGGGAAACCCUGAUGCAGCAACGCCGCGUGAGUGAAGACGUCUUUCUGUAUUUUAAGCUCUAUCAGCAUGGAAGAAAAUACCAGUACCUGACUAAUCCUCCCCGGCUAACUACGUGCCGGCCGCCGCGGUCCUACGUAGGGGGCAAGCGUUAUCCGGAUUUACUGGGUGUAAAGGGAGCGUAGACGGCUGCGCAAGUCAGAAGUGAAAGCCCGGGGCUCAACCGCGGGACUGCUUUUGAAACUGUAUAGCUAGAGUGCAGGAGAGGUAAGUGGAAUUCCUAGUGUAGCGGUGAAAUGCGUAGAGAUUAGGAGGAACACCGGUGGCGAAGGCGGCUUACUGGACUGUAACUGACGUUGAGGCUCGAAAGCGUGGGGAGCAAACAGGAUUAGAUACCCCAGUAGUC
rnacentral:rRNA from 1 species